GGUCGUUUAGAAACGUGAGUUUUGUACAUGGUUUUGUAUAAAAUAAUAUUUAAAAUUAAAGAGACCAAGAUAAUUUCGCCUGCGGUAGUUUUAUCUUAUUCAUAAUGCCUGAGGAAAAGGAACAAAAGAAAUUAAAGCCCUGUUGUGCUUGUCCGGAAACUAGAAAAGCUAGAGAUGCAUGUAUAAUGGAAAAAGGUGAAGAAAACUGUUCAGAAUUGGUGGAUGCACAUAAGGCAUGCUUGAAAAAAAUGGGCUUUAAUGUUUGAUGAACAAGAAUGGAAAACCUUCUAUUAAACAAAAUACUUGCCAUGUCAUUUGUAUAUAGUGUGCAUAUUGUAUUUAUUUGUACAAUAAAAAUUUAUGGUUAAAUAAAUAUUAUACUGAUAGA